ACAAAAAAUUCCCUGAUUUUUAAUAAUUGAUUAUUUUUUUUUUAGUCAAAAGGUAAUUGCAGAAAUAAACAGCUACUCACUUGUUUAAUCCACCAAACAUACGAGCUGACUGGUGUAAAGACCGUGGGCUUCUGCAGAACAUUGCAACCCUCACCAGAACCGAAGCUCACGAUGCCGUGGACGUCCCAGGAGCCAUCUGGGUUUGGGCAAUUCAGAGGGCCACCAGAGUCUCGCUGCAGCCUGCGGUGAUGCCAUCUCCUCCAGCGCAGACCAUUUUCUCAGUUGCCAGGACAUUCCACCAGUCGGGCUGCGAGCAGACAUCAUGGCCGACUACAGGCAGGAAAGCCUGCUGAAGAAUAUCAGCUGUCUCAGGUGAGAAAAAGUGCAAAUUUUGACUUUGGUUAAACAGCAUUAGGCUUUAAGGAUUUUUGCCUAUGGUUAAAAUAACCAUUAUACAUGUAAUAUUAAAGCAGUUUUUCUUUACAGUCUUAUUCAGUGAGAAAUUAGUGUAUGUCAGUAUGCAUAAGAUGCUUCCGUAAUCACAUUGUUUUCAGUGCCUUCCAAAAGUAUUAAUAUGGCUUGAAAUUUUAACAUUUAAAAAUAGUAGAUUUUAUUUAUUUAUUUAUUUUGAGUGCGUGAGGAAUAGUUGUUCUUUCAGCUUAGCAGUAGAUGUCUGAAGGUCCUCCCAAGUUAAAAUGGUGGUCUUGACUGCUUUUCAGAUUAAUGCUGUCCUUUUCCUGCCUUUGAGUGGAUCUCCAUUGUUUAUGUGUUUCCAGAUUAUGGAUAUGUUUGUGACAAUAUUUUCACUUUAAUCUUCUCCUUACCAACUGCGUGACUUCUGAAAGCACCAGAUUUUAUUCAUAGGUAAGUGAAUAAAGGUGGGUGAAAGAAAAAAAAAUGCAAAAUAAGCUUUUUACAUUUCCGUUUGUGAAGAAAUUCUGCCAUACUCUUAAAUGCUACUUUUGUUGGUCUCUCCCAUAAAGGUUUGUUGUUGUACUAUGUGGCAACUGUGUAAGCUCAAGUAAUGUUGACAGUUUUGGAAGGAAGUUUUGGACUUCAGCUCCAUAAAUGUACUAUUCUACAAAAUGAACACGCCCACUAGGUGACUGCUCAUAGUACUCAUGCAUAAUUCAGGACCCAACCUUUUGUCCAACCUUUGGUUUAGCUAAUAGUUAAGCUUUGUCUUAUUUCUCUUUGAAUCACUCACUUGAAAGACGCCCCCAGCCAGUGACAAGACAAGGGGUCCCAUGUGGGAGGACGACAUCCCGGUCUGGAAGGCACGCAGGUGUGAUUGUAUCAGACAAAGCAACAGGGGAAGACAGCUUUAUCAGAGCAGUGUCAUUCCUGCAAAAAAAGCAAAUCAAUACAUUUAUGUCCAAGAGGUGAAAAGAAAGUAGCCUCAUCAGUUUUUACAGUUUGGAUCACCUAUGAAAUAGCAUUCACUGUUAAGCGAUACCUCACACUCUUCCACAUUAAGAAGUGGUUUAAGAAAAUGUUGCGGUUACCGGCUGAGCAGGAUGUUAUAGUCUUCAUGAGUAAUGACCUUGGCUGCACUGCAAGCCACUGAGCCUUCCUCAGUGGCCUUCAGACUGUGCUUCCCCAGCUCCACUCUGUAGUCGUCGACUUCACUGUAAGAACGGCAACCAGCAAAGCUCAGGGAUUCAGAAAGCGAAACAGAUUGUUUUUUGUGUGUAAAUAUGUGCUAGACGGAUGAUCAGUAUGACAAAAUUCAGGGAUCUUCCAGUUAUUUACCUUUACAGUCUUCUGAGCUUCUCAAAAACACAAAAAAGGUUUUUUUUUUUUUGUUGGAACAAGAUCAAAUUUUUAUCUAAAGUCAUAUGCAGCAAAAUAUAAUAUGAAUUUCAAUGAUAUGGGUUUGUACAAUUAAAUGUACCUUUUCACAAAUAACUUUAAAGCAAGUUUUGACGAUACUUUUCAUUAAGCCAUGUUUCUUAAAAAAAUUCUAAUUGGUCUGACAUAAUAUUCUAAUCUUCAAUGUGUUUUCAUUAGCUGCAAGUUGAAAAUUGCAAUCAGAAAUAAAGGUUUGAAAACAUUCUGUCCAUAGCAUGCUGUGCUUCACAUAGUGAAUUAAAUUACUGAAAUCAAUGUUCAAUAAGCUAAUUUACCUAAAAUGCCUUGACAUCUAGUCAUUUUUUUAGGAUUGAACAUCCAGAGAAAAGGCUUGUGUUUUUCUGCUGUUAUUUACAAGAUUUCACGAUUAGAUCUACAACAAAUGUAUCGAAUGUCAUCUUGGUUCAAUGUUCAAGGUUAUCAUAGAGUACAAAAUUACAAAAUGUAACUGUGAAGGAAUUUGUGCAAAAACCCAAAUCAUAACAGAAAGCAGAAAGGCAACAGAAAAUCUAUCAUGUACUCAAUUAAACUAUGGUGGACGCAUUAAAAAGCAUCACAAAUAAAUUAAUAAAAAUAUGUUACUGGUUUUCAGGCUGACGCUGCAAAUGAUAAACUUUCUGUCUAUGUGUUUGGUGCACAGUUAGAAUAAAGAAAUAUAAGACAUUGA